rnacentral:rRNA from 1 species
AUUGAACGCUGGCGGAAUGCUUUUACACAUGCAAGUCGAACGGCAGCACGGGGCAACCUGGUGGCGAGUGGCGAACGGGUGAGUAAUACAUCGGAACGUGCCCAAUCGUGGGGGAUAACGUAGCGAAAGUUACGCUAAUACCGCAUACGAUCUACGGAUGAAAGCGGGGGAUCGCAAGACCUCGCGCGAGUGGAGCGGCCGAUGUCAGAUUAGGUAGUUGGUGGGGUAAAGGCUCACCAAGCCAACGAUCUGUAGCUGGUCUGAGAGGACGACCAGCCACACUGGAACUGAGACACGGUCCAGACUCCUACGGGAGGCAGCAGUGGGGAAUUUUGGACAAUGGGCGCAAGCCUGAUCCAGCCAUUCCGCGUGCAGGAUGAAGGCCUUCGGGUUGUAAACUGCUUUUGUUACGGAACGAAACGGCGAGCUCUAAUACAGUUUGCUAAUGACGGUACCGUAAGAAUAAGCACCGGCUAACUACGUGCCAGCAGCCGCGGUAAACA